rnacentral:rRNA from 1 species
GACGAACGCUGGCGGCGUGCUUAACACAUGCAAGUCGAACGGUGAAGCGCCUUCCUUUUUGGUGGGUGUGGAUGAGUGGCGAACGGGUGUGUAACACGUGAGUAACCUGCUCCCUUCUUCUGGAUAACCGCAUGACAGUGUGGCUAAUACGGGAUAUUCUGGGUCUGUCGCAUGAUGGGUCUGGGGAAGAUAUUGUUUCGGUGGGGGAUGGGCUCGCGGCCUAUUAGCUUGUUGGCGGGGUGAUGGCCUACCAAGGCGGCGGUGAGUAGCCGGCCUGAGAGGGUGAUGGACCGUCACGCUAGGAAGAAGCGGCGGACACGCCUACUACGGGAAGCAGGAGUGGAGCUUCUUGCACGAUGGGAGCAAGGCUGAUGCAGCGCCGCCGCGUGGGGGAUGGACGCCUUAGGGUUGAGAACCUCUUUCGCGAGUGAAGCAGGCUUGACUCGUUUGUGCGUGGGUUGACGGUAGCUGGAUAAGAAGCGCCGGCUAACUACGUG